AAAGGUACAGCUCAGUGGCAGAGUGCAUGCCUCGCAAGCACAAGGUCCUGGGUUCAAUCCCCAGUACCUCCC
rnacentral:tRNA from 1 species